rnacentral:lncRNA from 1 species
AUGCAGGGAAAGAUACAGCAGUUUGCCUUACAACUCCUUCUUGACCUCCUCACUUUCCUAAAAAUUGCAAAGCAUGCUAAAUCACACCCGGGCACAAGUGGAGCAUUCAUCAGGAACCACGAGCCACUCUUUCAGUCUGCCAAACCUAUCCAAUUACUGAGGCUGGAAGAGCCUGCACAAACCCUUCUGCCAGGUCUUGCAGAAUUCUAAAGAACAAAGUCCAACCAUCCCACCAAUAUUUUAAAGAAUGAGAUCUGUGUUAACACUUAAAGACAUUUUCCACGUUGACCUCAUGAACCCCAAAAGAAGGAUGAAAGAAGGCUGGAAUUAAUGAACUUAGGGAACCUGUAACACUCCAAAAAUGUUUAAUGCAAAAAUGUGAUAUUUUUGGUAGGAAAUUUCCAUUGCUUUCAACAGAUUUGGGAAGGGACCCAAAAGGUGACUAAACGCAUCUGCAUUUAAACCAAAAUAUCAUUGACCUUACAAUUCAAAUAGAGCUUAAUUGGGGUAUUUUCUAAUUUUUUUUUUCCUGAAACAUACCCCUGGUCUUUAUGUGGUUGCCAAUACUUUAUGUUGUAAGGAAAUUUUUAUAUUUAUACAUCUUAAAUUUUAAAUUUUAGUUAAAACAUACAAACUAUUAUCAAACCCUAUCUCAAAUUUCAGUUUUAUUUAAACUAUUUUGGGCUUAAUACUUACUACCAUUUAGAAAAUUCUUAUGAUUCCCCUUCCUUUAUACUUCAAUUUCUUUUUCUUUUCUUUUCUUUUUUUUUUUUUUUUUUUUUUUUUUUUUUUUUUUUUUUUUUUUUUUGAGAUGUAGUCUCGCUCUGUCGCCCAGGCUGCAGUGCAGUGGCAUGAUCUUGGCUCUCUGCAACCUCUGCCUCCUGAGUUCAAGCAAUUCUCUGCCUCAGCCUCACAAAUAGCUGGGAUUACCAGCACCCGCCACCAUGCCCAGCUAAUUUUUGUAUUAUGACGUAACACAUCAAAUCCAUGACCUGCAAACACAGUGGAAAUGCAAAGGUGAUUUUCUUCCCUUCACCUUCCCUUCUUUGCUCUCUAUCCCAUAAGAAAUAUUAUUAUGUUGAAAAUAGCACUAAGUCAAAAUCAGUGUGAUCACAUCUGGUUUUAUUCAUUAUAUUCAGAAGCAUAAUUUUCAUGGAGGAAGAAUAACUGGUAAAAGUAAAUAAACAGUCAGCUUUUGAUGUUUCUCUUAAAUGCAAUAAUUUGUUCUAUAAUGAAUUUGUGUUCAUAAAAAGUUUAAACCGUACAUAGAGAUACAGUUAGAAAUUGUUAGUGUAAUAUUACUGAAAAUGACCAUACUCUCAGACAAUUGCUUUAUUUGUGUGCCCCAGGUGAAAAUUUUUACACAUUUAUUUGAAAAAGUUUUUACAUAAAUUCAUUUCUUUCUCAUCGAUGCUUUUUUUUAGAAAUACAUAUUUUUUACAAAAAUACUUUCAAAAAUAUUUCUAACACUCCAGUGUUAUAUAAUGUACGUGGAAAAGAACGCUAGUAAUGCAAAGGCUUCAUUUGUUGUUUUAAAUUCAACUCUUACCUCCUCAAAAACAAACUUUUAAAGUUGCCUUAUGGCUUAUAUCUAAAAAUAAAAAAUCAUUAUUUAAAAAUUAAAAACAGUCAACAGCAGUCUCUUCAAUAAGACAAGGAAUAAAAACUGGUUUCUAAUGACGGCAAUGAUACAGAUUUUGAGUUAGCUCAAAGGUAGAGUUCAGAUCUCUGGUUUCUGAUUACACAGACAUUAGAUUUAUUGAUGUUAAGAAAUAGUUGCCUGUGUCAUUUACAUUUGGGGAUCUAGUAAUAGCGUUUUAUUGCUACCUAAGACAAGACCUGCACGUGCAUGUUUUCCCAAUCUCACAAUGAAUGAGGAUCUGAGUUAAGGCACCUGGGGAGCAAAGGAAAGGAUAAUAAAGCAUCUUAUGGGGGUCCUCAAGGGACUAAUAACUCCAGGUGGUCUUAGAAAUCAUGGAGAAUAUCCCAUCAGGAGCUCUUGGGAGGAAGCCAGGGAUAUGCAGCUGGUACAGCGUUCAAGUCCUCUUCACAAGCCGCCUCAAUACACACCCUUGUCACUCCUCGGGGCAGCCCUGCAGUGAGCAGUAAUUACAUCACAUUCUAUAGAUUAUCUCUCUCCAAGUAAUUUCUCAAAUGUCCCCGUUAAGUUAUAUUUUGAAAGUCACAGACAACCAGCUAGGGAAAGACAAUGAGAAGUGCAACUGGUAAGUACAGGGACUGAAAUUAAUCAGAAGCGAUUGAGAACCCCUCACCCAUCCCGCCCCAUCCUUCUCUUUCCUUUCUCUGGCCUUCAGGGACAAAAGGCUUUGGAGGCUUUCAGAAACUGAAGAAUGCAGAAGAACCAAGCAGGAGUUCUCCUUAACUCCUAUGUUCACAUGUCGAAUUCCGGUUUUGCCCCUUAACAAUUGUGUGUCCAUUAGGUUAUGUUUCUUUAGGUUUCAUUUAACCUUCAGGGAAACAAGGAAAAGACCGACUUUACAGACUCAGAGAUGUUGAUAUGACUCAAUGAAAUAAAGCGGAGAAGGUGCCUGGGCCAAAUGCCUGCACAUGGUUUGCACCCAAGAAAUUAUCGUGUGAAUAGUUAGAAGUAAUCGAGUAGCUUAUCCCUGCCAGGCACUGUGUCAACUUUUUCAACCAUCCUGCAGGGAGCUUCGAGGGGCUUAUAGCAGUGUCCAAAAUUCAGCCUUCAGAAUCCAAAACAUUAAAAGGCCUGCCAGUUCCGCCUUACACUUAUUCUUUGACUAGACAAUUGUUGAGUACUUUUUAUCUGUCAAGCUGUGCAUUUGAGACUGGAGACACAAAAAUUUAACAAAAU